GCAGCAAUUGAAAGGCAAAUAUCAGUUGGUAAUUCUGGGUAAAUAUCAUUAGCCAGCCCCGGAAUUUCAGCUGAUAUUCGUUUUUUAAUUGUU
rnacentral:pre_miRNA from 1 species